ACGCACGCUGGCGGCGUGCUUCACACAUGCAAGUCGCACGGAAAGGCCCUGCUUUUGUGGGGUGCUCGAGUGGCGAACGGGUGAGUAACACGUGAGUAACCUGCCCUUGACUUUGGGAUAACUUCAGGAAACUGGGGCUAAUACCGGAUAGGAGCUCCUGCUGCAUGGUGGGGGUUGGAAAGUUUCGGCGGUUGGGGAUGGACUCGCGGCUUAUCAGCUUGUUGGUGGGGUAGUGGCUUACCAAGGCUUUGACGGGUAGCCGGCCUGAGAGGGUGACCGGCCACAUUGGGACUGAGAUACGGCCCAGACUCCUACGGGAGGCAGCAGUGGGGAAUAUUGCGCAAUGGGCGGAAGCCUGAUGCAGCAACGCCGCGUGCGGGAUGACGGCCUUCGGGUUGUAAACCGCUUUCGCCUGUGACGAAGCGUGAGUGACGGUAAUGGGUAAAGAAGCACCGGCUAACUACGUG
rnacentral:rRNA from 1 species